rnacentral:rRNA from 1 species
UAGCUGGUCUGAGAGGAUGGCCAGCCACACUGGAACUGAGACACGGUCCAGACUCCUACGGGAGGCAGCAGUGGGGAAUAUUGGACAAUGGGGGCAACCCUGAUCCAGCCAUGCCGCGUGUGUGAAGAAGGCCUUCGGGUUGUAAAGCACUUUAAGCGAGGAGGAAGGUUUACUAGCUAAUACCUAGUAGAAUUGACGUUACUCGCAGAAUAAGCACCGGCUAACUCUGUGCCAGCAGCCGCGGUAAUACAGAGGGUGCAAGCGUUAAUCGGAAUUACUGGGCGUAAAGCGCGCGUAGGCGGUAUGUUAAGUCGGAUGUGAAAUCCCUGGGCUCAACCUAGGCACUGCAUCCGAUACUGGCACACUAGAGUGUGGGAGAGGAAGGUAGAAUUCCAGGUGUAGCGGUGAAAUGCGUAGAGAUCUGGAGGAAUACCGAUGGCGAAGGCAGCCUUCUGGCCUAACACUGACGCUGAGGUGCGAAAGCAUGGGGAGCAAACAGGAUUAGAUACCCUGGUAGUCCAUGCUGUAAACGAUGUCAACUAGCCGUUGGGAGCCUUGAGCUUUUAAUGGCGUAGCUAACGCGAUAAGUUGACCGCCUGGGGAGUACGGUCGCAAGACUAAAACUCAAAUGAAUUGACGGGGGCCCGCACAAGCGGUGGAGCAUGUGGUUUAAUUCGAUGCAACGCGAAGAACCUUACCUGGCCUUGACAUGUCUGGAAUCUUGCAGAGAUGCGAGAGUGCCUUCGGGAAUCAGAACACAGGUGCUGCAUGGCUGUCGUCAGCUCGUGUCGUGAGAUGUUGGGUUAAGUCCCGCAACGAGCGCAACCCUUUUCUUUAUUUGCCAGCACGUAAUGGUGGGAACUCUAAAGAUACUGCCGGUGACAAACCGGAGGAAGGCGGGGACGACGUCAAGUCAUCAUGGCCCUUACGGCCAGGGCUACACACGUGCUACAAUGGUUGGUACAGAGGGUUGCUAAGCCGCGAGGCCACGCUAAUCUCACAAAGCCAAUCGUAGUCCAGAUUGGAGUCUGCAACUCGACUCCAUGAAGUCGGAAUCGCUAGUAAUCGCGGAUCAGAAUGCCGCGGUGAAUACGUUCCCGGGCCUUGUACACACCGCCCGUCACACCAUGGGAGUUUGUUGCACCAGAAGUAGUUGGCCUAACCGCAAGGAGGGCGAUUACCACGGUGUGGCCAAUGACUGGGGUGAAGUCGUAACAAGGUAGCCGUAGGGGAACCUGCGGCUG